GCCCUUGACUUCGGGGGAUUUGUUGGGCGGCGAGCGGCGGACGGGUGAGUAAUGCCUGGGAAAUUGCCCUGAUGUGGGGGAUAACCAUUGGAAACGAUGGCUAAUACCGCAUGAUAGCUUCGGCUCAAAGAGGGGGACCUUCGGGCCUCUCGCGUCAGGAUAUGCCCAGGUGGGAUUAGCUAGUUGGUGAGGUAAGGGCUCACCAAGGCGACGAUCCCUAGCUGGUCUGAGAGGAUGAUCAGCCACACUGGAACUGAGACACGGUCCAGACUCCUACGGGAGGCAGCAGUGGGGAAUAUUGCACAAUGGGCGCAAGCCUGAUGCAGCCAUGCCGCGUGUAUGAAGAAGGCCUUCGGGUUGUAAAGUACUUUCAGCAGUGAGGAAGGAGGUAUCGUUAAUAGCGGUAUCUUUUGACGUUAGCUGCAGAAGAAGCACCGGCUAACUCCGUGCCAGCACGUACGGGUAAUAA
rnacentral:rRNA from 1 species